CAGUAGCCGCGGUAAUACAGAGGGUGCGAGCGUUAAUCGGAUUUACUGGGCGUAAAGAGUGCGUAGGCGGCUUCUUAAGUCGGAUGUGAAAUCCCUGAGCUUAACUUAGGAAUUGCAUUCGAUACUGGGAAGCUAGAGUAUGGGAGAGGAUGGUAGAAUUCCAGGUGUAGCGGUGAAAUGCGUAGAGAUCUGGAGGAAUACCGAUGGCGAAGGCAGCCAUCUGGCCUAAUACUGACGCUGAGGUACGAAAGCAUGGGGAGCAAACAGGAUUAGAUACCCGCGUAGUCCCUGUCUCUUAUAC
rnacentral:rRNA from 1 species